rnacentral:rRNA from 1 species
GACGAACGCUGGCGGCGUGCCUAACACAUGCAAGUCGAGCGGAGUCGAUCGACGGAAGCCUUCGGGCGGAAGAUGGUUGACUUAGCGGCGGAUGGGUGAGUAACGCGUGGGCAACCUGCCUCGAAGACCGGGAUAACAGCCCGAAAGGGCUGCUAAUACCGGAUGUGGUCAAGGAUCCGCAUGGAUUUUUGAUUAAAGGGGAAACCCGUUUCGAGAUGGGCCCGCGUCCUAUCAGCUAGUUGGUGAGGUAAAAGCUCACCAAGGCGACGACGGGUAGCCGGCCUGAGAGGGUGAACGGCCACACUGGAACUGAGACACGGUCCAGACUCCUACGGGAGGCAGCAGUGGGGAAUAUUGCACAAUGGGGAAACCCUGAUGCAGCGACGCCGCGUGAGUGAAGAAGGUCUUCGGAUCGUAAAACUCUGUCCUUGGUGAAGAAUAAUGACGGUAACCAAGGAGGAAGCCCCGGCUAACUACGUGCCAGCAGCCGCGGAAAGAGUAGUACA